GAUGAACGCUGGCGGCGUGCCUAAUACAUGCAAGUCGAGCGAAUGGAUUGAGAGCUUGCUCUUAUGAAGUUAGCGGCGGACGGGUGAGUAACACGUGGGUAACCUGCCCAUAAGACUGGGAUAACUCCGGGAAACCGGGGCUAAUACCGGAUAACAUUUUGAACCGAAUGGUUCGAAAUUGAAAGGCGGCUUCGGCUGUCACUUAUGGAUGGACCCGCGUCGCAUGAGCUAGUUGGUGAGGUAACGGCUCACCGAGGCAACGAUGCGUAGCCGACCUGAGAGGGUGAUCGGCCACACUGGGACUGAGACACGGCCCAGACUCCUACGGGAGGCAGCAGUAGGGAAUCUUCCGCAAUGGACGAAAGUCUGACGGAGCAACGCCGCGUGAGUGAUGAAGGCUUUCGGGUCGUAAAACUCUGUUGUUAGGGAAGAACAAGUGCUAGUUGAAUAAGCUGGCACCUUGACGGUACCUAACCGGAAAGCCACGGCUAACUACGUGCCAGCCGCCGCGGUAA
rnacentral:rRNA from 1 species